rnacentral:rRNA from 1 species
UACGUAGGGGGCUAGCGUUGUCCGGAUUUAUUGGGCGUAAAGAGCUCGUAGGCGGUUUGGCAAGUCGGGUGUGAAAACUCCGGGCUCAACUCGGAGACGCCACUCGAUACUGCCAUGACUCGAGUCCGGUAGGGGAGUGCGGAAUUCCUGGUGUAGCGGUGAAAUGCGCAGAUAUCAGGAGGAACACAGGUGGCGAAGGCGGCUCACUGGUCCAUUACUGACGCUGAGGUGCGAAAGCGUGGGGAGCAAACAGG